rnacentral:tRNA from 1 species
GGUAGAUGGCUCAGUGGUAGAGUGCUUGCCUUGCAUGCAUGAGACCCUGGGUUCAAUUCCUCAGCACCA